UUUCUGAGUGGGCUCAGGAGGCAGGUCAAAGCUCAGCAAGCUAUCUCCAAUAUUGUGACCAGCUUAUAGACCACCAGUGGGGGUUCCUUGAAGAGAUUCGUUGAACCAUGCAUAACUGGCUAUAUGGCAGACCAUUCUUGAGGGGAAGGGGAUGCAUACUAUCCACACAUAGCAAGAUGUUCUUCACACUCUCAACUUUGGGGUGGGAGGUGACACAACAUAGAAUGCCUUGUGGAGAACGAGCAAUGGAGAGUUGGCCCACAUCAGCCCAAAGGUUGUGGUGCUGUGGGUGGGAACCCAUAAUCACGGUCACACUGCAGAACAGAUCUGUGGAGGCAUUAUGGCCAUAGUCCAACUCAUCAAGGACAAGCUGUCGAAGGCUUACACUCUCGUACUGGGGUUCCUGAACUGAUGUACAAAGUUCAGGUGUCAGUGCCACUACAGUGGAGGACCCAGGGAGAGUUGGAGACCAGAUCAACCCCCCCACAGACACCAUGACAGACUGUGUGACUGUAAGGGUGCGUUAUUAGGAAGUCAUUGCUAUUUGUCCAGGAGGAGGAGAGAGGGUUUGAGUGGAGGCUGCCUCUGCCAGGAGUCUGCCAAAUCCUACCGCAAGCCCAGGAAGGCCUUUGUGGAAAUGUGCCUAAGGAAAGGAUUCCAGAAUCAGUGGAAAUGCCAGAAGAUCAUGGAAAGAGUAGAGAGGUCAAAGAGUGAUCAAGGCAAAAAGAGUUGACCUUUAAUCUCAUGUUGCUCGCUCAAGAACCAUGACUCGUUUUUUUAUAAAAAUGUAUUAGAUAAUUAUA